rnacentral:rRNA from 1 species
UACAGAGGGGGCAAGCGUUGUUCGGAAUUACUGGGCGUAAAGGGCGCGUAGGCGGCCUGUUAAGUCGAACGUGAAAUCCCCGGGCUCAACCCGGGAACUGCGUCCGAUACUGGCAGGCUUGAAUCCGGGAGAGGGAUGCGGAAUUCCAGGUGUAGCGGUGAAAUGCGUAGAUAUCUGGAGGAACACCGGUGGCGAAGGCGGCAUCCUGGACCGACACUGACACUGAGGAGCGAAAGCCAGGGGAGCAAACAGG